rnacentral:tRNA from 1 species
GAGCUGCUAGCUUAAUCGGUAAAGCACCCUCCUCCAUCAGUGUAUUCUGAGUAGUGCCUUGACGAAGGGGGUGAUUGAGGUUCGAGUCCUCAGCGGUUCA